GCAUUCGGGUAAUUGCGCUGUCAUUUAUGACGGUGAGGAAAGUCCAUGCUCGCACAACCUGCGAUGGUUGUAGUGUUCGUGCCUAACGAAACAAUAAGUUAGGGCAGUCAAGUUUCUUGGCUGACGGCUGGGAAAAUACCUAAGUCGUAAGAUAUGGUAUGAGUACCUUUAAAAGUGCCACAGUGACGAUGUCAAUCGGAAACGAGAGACGUGGAACGGGUAAACCCCACGAGCGAGAAACCCAAAUUUGGUAGGGGCACUCCUAAAGCGGAAUUGAACGCAUAUGGGAGGUAGAGAGUCAUCUCUACAGACAGAUAAUUACCACCUAAGUACGAGGAGGCAUCCGUUUGAGUACGACGGUACAGAACAUGGCUUACAGAU
rfam:Turicibacter sp. H121, complete genome.